rnacentral:rRNA from 1 species
UACGUAGGGGGCAAGCGUUGCUCGGAAUCACUGGGCGUAAAGGGUGCGUAGGCGGGUUUUUAAGUCAGAGGUGAAAUCCUGGAGCUCAACUCCAGAACUGCCUUUGAUACUGAAAGUCUUGAGUAUGGGAGAGGUGAGUGGAACUGCGAGUGUAGAGGUGAAAUUCGUAGAUAUUCGCAAGAACACCAGUGGCGAAGGCGGCUCACUGGCCCAUUACUGACGCUGAGGCACGAAAGCGUGGGGAGCAAACAGG